rnacentral:rRNA from 1 species
UACGGGGGGAGCAAGCGUUGUUCGGAUUUACUGGGCGUAAAGGGCGCGUAGGCGGCCACCUCAAGUCGGUUGUGAAAUCUCUGGGCUUAACCCAGAAAGGUCAAUCGAUACUGCGGGGCUAGAGUGCAGAAGGGGCAACUGGAAUUCUCGGUGUAGCGGUGAAAUGCGUAGAUAUCGAGAGGAACACCUGCGGCGAAGGCGGGUUGCUGGGCUGACACUGACGCUGACAGCGCGAAAGCUAGGGGAGCGAACGGG